UACGUAGGUGACCAGCGUUGUCCGGAUUUACUGGGCGUAAAGAGCCCGCAGGCGGUCGUUCAAGUCGAGUGUGAAAGCCCCCGGCUCAACUGGGGAGGGUCACUCGAUACUGAUCGACUGGAAGGCAGGAGAGGGAAGCGGAAUUCCCGGUGUAGUGGUGAAAUGCGUAGAUAUCGGGAGGAACACCAGUGGCGAAGGCGGCUUCCUGGCCUGUUCUUGACGCUGAGGCGCGAAAGCUAGGGGAGCAAACGGG
rnacentral:rRNA from 1 species